rnacentral:rRNA from 1 species
UACGUAGGGGGGCAAGCGUUGUCCGGAAUCAUUGGGCGUAAAGAGCGUGUAGGCGGCUCGGUAAGUCCGCUGUAAAAGUCCAGGGCUCAACCCUGGAAAGCCGGUGGAAACUGUCGAGCUAGAGUCCGGAAGAGGCGAGUGGAAUUCCUGGUGUAGCGGUGAAAUGCGCAGAUAUCAGGAGGAACACCAGUGGCGAAGGCGACUCUCUGGGCUGUAACUGACGCUGAGGCGCGAAAGCGUGGGGAGCAAACAGG